rnacentral:rRNA from 1 species
AUUGAACGCUGGCGGCAGGCCUAACACAUGCAAGUCGAACGAGUGGCGGAAGGGUGAGUAAUGGCUGGGAAACUGCCUGAUGGAGGGGGAUAACUACUGGAAACGGUAGCUAAUAGCGCAUACCAUCAGAUGUGCCCAGAUUGGAUUAGCUUGGUGGUGGGGUAACGGCUCACCAAGGCGACGAUCCCUAGCUGGUCGGAGAGGAUGACCGGCCACACUGGAACUGAGACACGGUCCAGACUCCUACGGGAGGCAGCAGUGGGGAAUAUUGCGCAAUGGGCGAAAGCCUGAUGCAGCCACGCCGCGUGUAUGAAGAAGGCCUUCGGGUUGUAAAGUACUUUCGGUGGGGAGGCGUUACCCGCACAAGAAGCCCCGGCUAACUCCGUGCCAGCCGCCGCGGUAAUUC